GGUUUUUUCAUGUUACAAAAUACAUUUCCAUUUUCAUUGUAUCUGACUUUAAAAUAAUAGAAAGUCACAUUGCAUUGGAGGUGCACUCAUAAAAAAUGUCUCUAAAGGUUAUCUGAUCUCCUGGGAUGAACUGUUUUGAUUAAAAAGAUGUAAAAGAUUAAUCAUGAGAACAUAAGCAUGUUUCCUCUACUCCCUCUCUACCCAUGACUGCUCCCCCAUCCAUCCUACCAACGCCAUCGUUAAACUUGCUGAUGACACCACCAUAGUGGGACUGAUAACGGACAACAAGGAGUCUGUUUUGUGGUGUUCUAACGACUUAAACACCACAAAAAAACAAAGGAAGCAAUUUUGGAUAUCAGAAGACCCAAGCACACCGAGCACUCUGCUCUCUACAUUCAUGGGGAGAAGAUGGAGAGAUCAGAGUAAGUUCCUCGGUGUGCACCUCUCGGCUGACCCCACCUGGACCAUAUCUGCUAUCAGUUCAUUUGCCCACAAGCCAAACUAUCUGCAUUUGAAGCAAGGAGCUGUGACAGGCUCGGACUCGCUCCUGCUGAAGAAUUAAAAACCCCAGGAAAGGAAUUAAGAAAUCCAG
rnacentral:lncRNA from 1 species